UGCCAGGAAAGUUCAGAGAACCCACAGAGGGAGCCCUGGAGCAUCUGAGUCACUGUGAUUCUCACUUUCCCUGGGUUUCUGUGUUCCCUGCUUUUCCCCCAAACUGGAGUGUUUUCUCCUUAUGGUCGCUCACCUGCUUUCCAAUUUCAGGUCUUAAGCAGGUGUGUGUAAUUUUACCCAAGGUUUUCUCCAAACAGAAUCUGCUCCUAAUCUGUGACUUGGCCAACUUUGUGUUUCCUUUUCACUGGCUUUUGAAGAACGCUGGGACUCAAAGAAUGAAAGUAGGAUAUUCAGAUGAGGAACAGGGUAGCGAGCCACCGGAGAGAGUUCACAUGAAUAUUUUAGGCAUUUUUCAGAAGGAACCAUCUUGCUUUUACCAUUGGUGAGGACUAUUUCAAUUUCCAUUCACCUUGGGCAUCUGGGCAAGUGAUUAUCUGCAAAGUCAGGUGACCAUUUUCCACCGUGGAGCUGUGCACGCUUUCUUUGGACCUCAUUGACUUAGAGGACAAGAAAUACGACUGCUGUGUCCUUUGACCAAGAGUGGAGCAAGCAGACCCGAGAAGGUUCAUAAGAGGUCAGUCAGCCAGGUUAUGUGACCAAAGAUUACAAUCCCAACCUCAGUCGAAAGCUCUGGAAACGUGGGCUUGCAGGAGAGAGCAAGGAGGCAAGGUCAUCACCACUGGAGAAACAAACCAUGCAAGACACAGACUCUGCUAAUGAAAACGAUGCUCGCCUACAAAGAGCUUCAUGAUUUUUAAUU
ensembl:lncRNA